GAAGGUAAAGAAUUGAACAUACUAACAUAGUGAUUCUUUGAAAAUAAAUUUAGAACUCAUGUCUAACAGCAAAAAAUUUUCCAGACCACAGACCCUAGUUAAAGAUUAGAUGCAGAUUGAAUGAAACACUCCUGCUUGUAGUGCACUCCCACACGUUGGCAUAGAACUUAAAAUGUACGUAAGUAUUGGAGCAAAACUUGUAACUUUGAGUUGGCCUGGUGAGUUUCCCUGAUCUUCUCCCUGUAACCAGUUGCAGAAAUAAACUCCCUUCUUACCCAGUCUGUUCACUUCUUGUUACUAGACCAGGAGAACAAGUAGCCAAACCUUGUUUGUCCAGGAACAACUCCACUCACUCCAUGAUAGAAUCCUGGGAGAACUGGCAAAUACCAGCAGAAAAUGUUUUCGGGUUAAUGCUGGGCAACUUGUCUCAAAAAGUGUCUCAGUUUGGAUGACAAGUCGUGUGGAAGUUUUGACUCAAUAGAGCCAGUGGAUGUGGAUGGUGGACUUAGGAAGAGAUUUGGACACAAAGCAGAGAACACCGAAGAACUGCUCGUUUGCACUGAAAUGGUUUGCUGGCUUUCUGCCUAGAUCGGACAUCUCUUCAAAUGGACAGUCCCAACUCUCUUUCUCUCACUUCUCUUCCCCCUUCUCUGUAAAUCACAAAUGCUGCAUUUGGAGGAACUUCAUUUUAACUAGGAUAAAUAUCACAUAAUAAAUGAUGCAUUUUUUUCCCAUAAAGCAAACCAUUUAUAAAUGUUUUUAGUAAUUGUUCAUAUUGGAGCACUUGGUGGAAGUCUUAUGAUCUAUAGUGUCCAUUGAGGCUUCCAUUUAAAGGGGAGCAGAGACAAUGCCAAAGUUGAUAGAAGGGAUGAUGGGGAGAUAAACUCUCAAGGCCUAUAUAUUAUCCACCCGCAGUGUUGGAAGGGCCACAGGAAGGACGGUGAUUAUUCUGUUUGGCAAGCCAAUUGUCUGUCUUUGGAAAAAUGAUAGGAAGAAGAGUGGAGUCAAAAAUAAUGCCUUUCUCACUGCCCAGAUAUAAACGAGCUAUUUACAAUCCCUGCUGCCUUUUAGGUUUGGGUUUUAUUUUUCCUCUGAACAAUAGAUUAAACCUUCGAGGAGGUUUGUAGCAAAAGAGGAGGAAACUAUAAAAAACACCACAUACUUGCAGACAUCUGCAAGCAACCAUAUUAUUUGUCCCCUUCAAAGGAAUCUCCCGGAGAGACUGUAAGUUUAUUCAAAUAAAAUAGCUGU